rnacentral:rRNA from 1 species
AUACGGAGGGAGCAAGCGUUAUUCGGAAUCACUGGGCGUAAAGGACGCGUAGGCGGGUUUGUAAGUCAGGUGUGAAAUCCUAUAGCUCAACUGUAGAACUGCACUUGAAACUACAGACGUAGAGUAUGGAAGGGGCAGAUGGAAUUAGUGGUGUAGGGGUAAAAUCCGUAGAUAUCACUAGGAAUACCGAAAGCGAAGGCGAUCUGCUGGGACAUUACUGACGCUGAGGCGUGAAAGCGUGGGGAGCAAACAGGAUUAGAAACCCGUGUAGUAC